rnacentral:rRNA from 1 species
AUUGAACGCUGGCGGCAGGCCUAACACAUGCAAGUCGAGCGAGCGGCGGACGGGUGAGUAAUGUAUGGGGACUGCACGAUCGAGGGGGAUAACACAUGGAAACGGUAGCUAAUCCCGCAUACUAUCUGCUAACCCAUAUGGGGUCAGCUAGUAGGUGAGGUAAUGGCUUACCUAGGCGACGCUCUCUAGCUGGUCUGAGAGGGUGAUCAGCAACACUGGGACUGAGACACGGCCCAGACUCCUAAGGAGGCAGCAGUGGGGAAUUUUCGACAAUGGUCGCAAGCCUGAUGCAGCCAUGCCGCGUGUAUGAAGAAGGCCCUAGGGUUGUAAAGUACUUUCAGUCGGGAGGCGUUACCGACAGAAGAUGCACCGGCUAACUCCGUGCCAGCAGCCGCGUAAUAC